UGGGGAAUAUUGGGCAAUGGAGGAAACUCUGACCCAGCAACGCCGCGUGAGGGAAGAAGGCCUUCGGGUUGUAAACCUUUGUCCUAUGGGACGAAACAAAUGACGGUACCAUAGGAGGAAGCUCCGGCUAACUACGUGCCAGCAGCCGCGGUAAUACGUAGGGAGCAAGCGUUGUCCGGAAUUACUGGGCGUAAAGGGUGCGUAGGUGGCCAGUCAAGUCAGAUGUGAAAUACCGGGGCUUAACCCCGGGACGGCAUUUGAAACUGAUUGGCUUGAGUGCAGGAGAGGUAAGUGGAAUUCCUAGUGUAGCGGUGAAAUGCGUAGAUAUUAGGAGGAACACCAGUGGCGAAGGCGGCUUACUGGACUGCAACUGACACUGAGGCACGAAAGCGUGGGGAGCAAACA
rnacentral:rRNA from 1 species